rnacentral:rRNA from 1 species
UACGGGGGGGGCAAGCGUUGUUCGGAAUUACUGGGCGUAAAGGGCUCGUAGGCGGCCAACUAAGUCCGACGUGAAAUCCCCAGGCUCAACCUGGGAACUGCGUCGGAUACUGGAUGGCUUGAAUCCAGGAGAGGUGAGUGGAAUUCCGAGUGUAGAGGUGAAAUUCGUAGAUAUUCGGAAGAACACCAGUGGCGAAGGCGGCUCACUGGACUGGUAUUGACGCUGAGGUGCGAAAGCGUGGGGAGCAAACAGG